CGGAGUGUAACUAAUUAGUUCAGUAUCUCAUUUACACCGUGAAUAAAUCCGUGCAAAUCGGAUCGCUCUGA
rnacentral:tRNA from 2 species